rnacentral:lncRNA from 1 species
AGUGAGUGAGUGAGUGAGUGAGUGAGUGAGUGAGUGAGUGAGUGAGUGAGUGAGUGAGUGAGUGAGUGAGUGAGUGAGUGAGUGAGUGUCUGUAAUGGUGUGUUAAUGUCGCGCAGGUCAGUGCUCCACGUCCUCAGUAGAUCUGGAGACGGACUCGGCCACAGACUCGGAGCUGCGUGAGGGGAUGCUGGGACGAACCGUGGAGGCCGAUAUGGACGACAGAGGUCUGGAGACGCCCAUCUUCUGUAUGGACAGCAAGACCAACGAGAGCUCCUGCCCCUCAUGGCUGCAGAAGGAGCUGCUGGAUGCUGAGUUCAUCCCGAUGCCCGACGAUUCCCAGGACUCCAUCGAGCCGCUGACGAAGCCCUACACCGAGAGCGCCACGCUGCCCUACGAGGAGCUGGACCAGAUCAAAGCCACCGCCGCCGCCGCCGCCGCCACGGGAAAGAGCCUUAUGCCGGCUGCAUGCGUGGAUUACGAGCGGAUGAACGGCGUGGAGACGGGACGCUCCGAGCAGAGCUGCUGUGGCGCGAGCAUCGAGCUGGCAAACCUCAGAGAAACCGUGAACCGUCAGGACGCCCAAGUGCAGCUCUUACAGAAACAGGUGAGUUAAAUCUGUCUGAGCACUAUUAGACUGAAAACACUGACUGCUGACCGCAUGUUAUGCUCACGUGUUCUGAUAAUAAUAGCUGUGUAGGACUAAACAUUAUUUGGAUAUAAUUGGUAAAAAAAACUAAAUCUCUUAAUAGCCCUCUGUUAGACCUACCUGAAAAACUAAAGAGGAAUUUAUUUCAUUUGAAUCGUUAUUGUUAUUUGUGCUAUCAUUAGUGAUUUCAUUUGUUCUUAUUUUGACUGCUUACUUGUCAUUUUUGAUUCAAUUCAAAGUUUGAAAUCAAGCUAUCUCGUGCUACUGCAAUGAUAUUACCCAGCUGUAAAAUCAGAAAUACACUGAGUGAGCCACGAUGUUUACAUAUGAUUAAAAGCCUACAUUAAAAUAUGUCAUUUAAAGUGGUCUCUUUUUGUAAUAUUAAAAAUAUCUGUAAUACAGUAUAUUCUGCUGUCCCUGCUGUACCGAAUAUCUAUACUUUUCAAGGUAUCAUAUCGAAGUUAGAAAUUCAAGUAUUGCGACAAAAUUAAUUUUGUAGGGUGCCACAAAUUUGUUAAAAUUUCCAAAGGGUGCCGCGACUUUAAAAAAAAAAAAGGUUGGGAAACACUGGUUUAGACAAAUGAAAAUCUGCUGAAAAUGUGCUCCCCCUCAGGCCAUCCGAGAUUAAAUCUUCAUCAGGUUUGGAGAAAUGUAGCAUUGCAUCAGUGUCUCAGCAAUGGAUGUGAAUGGGUGCCGUCAGAAUGAGAGUCCAAACAGCUGAUAAACAUCACAAUAAUCCACAAGUAAUCCACAGCACUCCAGUCCAUCAGUUAACAUCUGGAGAAGACAAAAGCUGAAACUAAUCCAGCAUCAAGACAUUUUUAACUAAAAUACAUAGAGUCUAUAAUCCAUAAUAACGCUUCCUCCAGUGAGUCAGUGUUCUGGUGUGAAUCAGGAGAGAAAUCUGCACAGAUCAAGCAGCGUUUAAACAGCUCUAAACACAUAUGUGGCUGGAUUUUGAUGUGAGAGACAACAGCAGAUGCACUUUUUCACUGGAGGAAGAGUUAUUAUGGAUUAUGGACUCGUAUUUUUCAGUUUUAGUCUUCUCCAGAUGUGAACUGAUGGACUGGAGUGCUGUGGAUUAUUGUGAUGUUUUUAUCAGCUGUUUGGACUCUCAUUCUGACGGCACCCAUUCACUGCAGAGCAUCCAUUGCUGAGACACUGAUGCAGUGCUACAUUUCUACAAACCUGACGAAGAAACAAACUCAUCCUGAUCUCGUAUAAAGCUAUUUUUCACAUUUGGCUAAACUACCGAUUGCUUAAAGGGUUGAUUAGAUAGCUAAGUGUUGUGUUGGUAAUGAACAACUGAAGGAGGGUUCUGGAAGUGUGUCAUUAGCGGUUUAAUACUCCACAAAUCUCGUGCUCCGCUGAAUGUGUUUUUUCAAGCUAACUAGACACGAUUGUUUUUUCUGUAAAUGUCUGUCAGUUCAACGAUCAGCUGAAGGAGAACGAGAGACUGUGGAGAGCCAUUCAGAGCCUCAGAGCAGAUGCUGGACUCCAGGACAUCAGUCAAAACCACCGCUCUGCCCUUCAGGAGAAGUGAGAGAUCAGUCAGACUAACCUGUUAAUACUGCUUGCAGUGAGUGUGCUCCGUGCUAAAUCCAGACAGAUUGAGGGGGUUUCGCCAAAAUCAUUAGUGCCUUUUCAUAACCAAAGACUGUACGAGUUCUUUCAUGCUGCUAAUGUCAAGCCAAAGCGCUCCGUAUCUUUUAGUGCUGUGUGUAUGGACAUAAACCGUGAGUGUUUUAUCUGGGAACAACAUUGAAUAAUGUCAGUUUAAUCACGAGACAAUCCCUCCAGAACGAAUGUAAGAAAAGUGUCAUAAAUGGUUCACUUCAGUCCUCAUGGGUUUAACGCUUUCAUAUUCAACAUUCAGCACAAUAUGUGACCCUGGAGCACAAAACCAGUCAUAAGGGUCAAUUUUUCAAAUUUGUUUGGAUAGGACGAUAUUUGAAAAUCUGGAAUCUGAGGGUGCAAAAAAAUCUAAAUAUUGAGAAAAUCAUCUUUAAAGUUGUUCAAAUGAAGUUCUUAGCAAUGCAUAUUACUAAUCAAACAUUAAGUUUGGAUAUAUUUACGGUACGGUAGGUCAUUAAUAUCUUCAUGGAACAUGAUCUUUACUUAAUAUCCUAAUGAUUUUUGGCAUAAAAGAAAAAUCUAUAAUUUUGACUUUUGUGCUGCAGGGUCACAUUUUGUUUUCAGAUGCUCUUUUAUAAUGAGAUGAAAUUGUAAAGUUGAAAGUGCCUCUAUAUUAGUUUGUCUUCAGUGUAUCAGUGUUAAUGUCAUUCGUACAGUGUUUUGCGUGUUAUUCUCACAGAUUUUAUCUUUCCUAUGCAAGCAGGUCUAAUGCAGCCGAUGUGUUUCAAUCAAAGAUUCUUAUAAACACUUCAAAGCUGCUUCGUGUAUGAAUGUGAAGCCAAAUCAUGGUUCGUUUGCGUCACUGCUCUCUGCUUUUCAUAUGCAUGCUAAUGUCUACGUGUACAAGUUUUGCAGUAAUUUCACAUUUAUAUUAGAGUAAGUUGUGCAUACACAUCGUGUCAAAACUACUGAAUUUCUAGUAUUUUCAUUUCUUUAGCAUUCUUGUCUGUUUUAUGUAUAUUGCCAAAUAUUGGAGAACGACACCAAGUUUAUGCAAAUCUGUGGAGCGAAGGUAAAACGCAGUACAGAUCUCUGAGACUCGUAUCUGUCCUUUGACAGACGGCUUCGGAUCAGAGAAAACUGCAGAAACUGCCUGAGCUCCAGUGUUGCUGUAGUCACUGCAUUCUGCCGGUGUAUUGCCUUCACUUUUGCAUGUUUUUAAAGCAAGUGCAACCAAAUGUUUUCAUUGUUUGUGUGUGUUUUAUUCACAUUUAUUUCAUUUGUUUUUCUUUCAUUUCUGUACUCUGAAACUGUGUCAUAUAUUUGAGACAUGCUUUUGAGGUGUUUUUAUGCUUCAUACACUCAUAUCAGACACUGACUGAUGCACAUUUUUCAUUAAAAGAGGUGAGGCAAAAUGUCACACUGAUGUUGGGGUCAUUUU